rnacentral:rRNA from 1 species
AACAGGAUUAGAUACCCUGGUAGUCCAUGCCGUAAACGUUGGGAACUAGGUGUGGGUCUCAUUCCACGAGAUCCGUGCCGCAGCUAACGCAUUAAGUUCCCCGCCUGGGGAGUACGGCCGCAAGGCUAAAACUCAAAGGAAUUGACGGGGGCCCGCACAAGCGGCGGAGCAUGCGGAUUAAUUCGAUGCAACGCGAAGAACCUUACCAAGGCUUGACAUAUACCGGAAACAUCUAGAGAUAGGUGCCCCGCAAGGUCGGUAUACAGGUGGUGCAUGGUUGUCGUCAGCUCGUGUCGUGAGAUGUUGGGUUAAGUCCCGCAACGAGCGCAACCCUCGUUCUAUGUUGCCAGCACGUAAUGGUGGGGACUCAUAGGAGACUGCCGGGGUCAACUCGGAGGAAGGUGGGGAUGACGUCAAAUCAUCAUGCCCCUUAUGUCUUGGGCUUCACGCAUGCUACAAUGGCCGGUACAAAGGGCUGCGAAACCGCGAGGUGGAGCGAAUCCCAAAAAACCGGUCUCAGUUCGGAUUGGGGUCUGCAACUCGACCCCAUGAAGUCGGAGUCGCUAGUAAUCGCAGAUCAGCAACGCUGCGGUGAAUACGUUCCCGGGCCUUGUACACACCGCCCGUCAAGUCACGAAAGUCGGUAACACCCGAAGCCGGUGGCCCAACUCUUUGAGGGGGAGCCGUCGAAGGUGGGACUGGCGAUUGGGACUAAGUCGUAACAAGGUAACCGUA